rnacentral:rRNA from 1 species
CCUACGGGCGGCAGCAGUGAGGAAUAUUGGUCAAUGGGCUUACGCCUGAACCAGCCAAGUCGCGUGAGGGAAGACUGCCCUAUGGGUUGUAAACCUCUUUUGUCAGGGAGCAACGCCGGCUACGUGUAGCCGGACUUAUAGUACCUGAAGAAAAAGCAUCGGCUAACUCCGUGCCAGCAGCCGCGGUAAUACGGAGGAUGCGAGCGUUAUCCGGAUUUAUUGGGUUUAAAGGGUGCGUAGGCGGAAUGCCAAGUCAGCGGUAAAAUCGCGGGGCUCAACCUCGAUCCGCCGUUGAAACUGGCGGUCUUGAGUGGGUGAGAGGUAGGCGGAAUGCGUGGUGUAGCGGUGAAAUGCAUAGAUAUCACGAAGAACUCCGAUUGCGAAGGCAGCAUACCGGCGCCCAACUGACGCUGAAGCACGAAAGCGUGGGUAUCGAACAGGAUUAGAUACCCCAGUAGUC